rnacentral:ncRNA from 1 species
CAUUAGAGCAUUAAGAGGACAUUUUCCUAGUACGAGAAAAUUGGGAAGGACUCACCUUCGGUGUGCCAGUUAUCGUGUCCACGAUAAACGUUGGGUUGCCAAGUGUGGAGUAAAUAAUUGCUAAAAGCAUCUAAGUAAUAACCUAAGAUGAGUGUUCUCCUAUAUUGACUUCCCCAAAGCCUUCGGUAGCACAGUUGAGAUAGUGAUGGGUUCUCUGCCUCAACAGGAAUGGAAAAAAUGUGAGAAUUCAAGAGAAGGUCACAAUGAGAUGAGUUGUUUCUAAUUAAUGAUAGGUGUCAAAUAGAAAUGCAAUGAUGUAUGUUGCUGAGACAUCCUAACAAACCGG